GACGGAGGGUGCAAGCGUUGUACGGAAUUACUGGGCGUAAAGCGCGUGUAGGCGGUCUGAUAAGUCGAGUGUGAAAGCCCGAGGCUCAACUUCGGAAGUGCACUCGAAACUGUCAGGCUUGAGUACGGGAGAGGGAAGUGGAAUUCCUGGUGUAGAGGUGAAAUUCGUAGAUAUCAGGAGGAACACCGGUGGCGAAGGCGGCUUCCUGGACCGAUACUGACGUUGAGACACGAAAGCGUGGGUAGCAAACAGG
rnacentral:rRNA from 1 species